GUCGGACUUCGGUCCGAUGGAAACUGGCGCACGGGUGAGUAACGCGUGGGAACAUGCCCAAGGGUACGGAAUAACAGCUGGAAACGGCUGCUAAUACCGUAUGUCCCCUACGGGGGAAAGAUUUAUCGCCUUUGGAUUGUCCCGCGUCCGAUUAGCUAGUUGGUAGGGUAAAGGCCUACCAAGGCGACGAUCCAUAGCUGGUCUGAGAGGAUGAUCAGCCACACUGGAACUGAGACACGGUCCAGACUCC
rnacentral:rRNA from 1 species